UUAAGAAUCUUGCUCAAUGGGCGAAAGCCUGAAGCAGCGACGCCGCGUGGACGAUGAAGGUCUUCGGAUUGUAAAGUCCACUAAGCAGGGAUGAAUAAGCAGCGGGUAAUAUUCGUUGCGAUGACUGUGCCUGCCUAAAGCCUCGGCUAACUACGUGCCAGCAGCCGCGGUAAGACGUAUGAGGCAAGCGUUGUUCGGAAUUAUUGGGCGUAAAGGGCGUGUAGGCGGCCGAUUAAGUCCGGAGUGAAAGUCCUGCUUUCAAGGUGGGAAUUGCUUUGGAAACUGGUUGGCUUGAGUGCGGAAGAGGUAAGUGGAAUUCCCAGUGUAGCGGUGAAAUGCGUAGAGAUUGGGAGGAACACCAGUGGCGAAGGCGACUUACUGGGCCGUAACUGACGCUGAGGCGCGAAAGCGUGGGGAGCGAACA
rnacentral:rRNA from 1 species